rnacentral:rRNA from 1 species
GUAACACGUAUCCAACCUGCCGUCUACUCUUGGACAGCCUUCUGAAAGGAAGAUUAAUACAAGAUGGCAUCAUGAGUCCGCAUGUUCACAUGAUUAAAGGUAUUCCGGUAGACGAUGGGAUGCGUUCCAUUAGAUAGUAGGCGGGGUAACGGCCCACCUAGUCUUCGAUGGAUAGGGGUUCUGAGAGGAAGGUCCCCCACAUUGGAACUGAGACACGGUCCAA